GCCUACUACAUGCAAGUCGAGCGCACUCUUCGGAGUGAGCGGCGGACGGGUUAGUAACGCGUGGGAACGUGCCCUUCUCUAAGGAAUAGCCACUGGAAACGGUGAGUAAUACCUUAUACGCCCUUCGGGGGAAAGAUUUAUCGGAGAAGGAUCGGCCCGCGUUAGAUUAGAUAGUUGGUGGGGUAACGGCCUACCAAGUCUACGAUCUAUAGCUGGUUUUAGAGGAUGAUCAGCAACACUGGGACUGAGACACGGCCCAGACUCCUACGGGAGGCAGCAGUGGGGAAUCUUGGACAAUGGGCGCAAGCCUGAUCCAGCCAUGCCGCGUGAGUGAUGAAGGCCUUAGGGUCGUAAAGCUCUUUCGCCAGAGAUGAUAAUGACAGUAUCUGGUAAAGAAACCCCGGCUAACUCCGUGCCAGCAGCCGCGGUAAUACGGAGGGGGUUAGCGUUGUUCGGAAUUACUGGGCGUAAAGCGCACGUAGGCGGAUCAGAAAGUUGGGGGUGAAAUCCCGGGGCUCAACCCCGGAACUGCCUCCAAAACUCCUGGUCUUGAGUUCGAGAGAGGUGAGUGGAAUUCCGAGUGUAGAGGUGAAAUUCGUAGAUAUUCGGAGGAACACCAGUGGCGAAGGCGGCUCACUGGCUCGAUACUGACGCUGAGGUGCGAAAGUGUGGGGAGCAAACAGGAUUAGAUACCCUGGUAGUCCACACCGUAAACGAUGAAUGCCAGUCGUCGGCAAGCAUGCUUGUCGGUGACACACCUAACGGAUUAAGCAUUCCGCCUGGGGAGUACGGUCGCAAGAUUAAAACUCAAAGGAAUUGACGGGGGCCCG
rnacentral:rRNA from 1 species